rnacentral:rRNA from 1 species
GAUUAAGUUAUUAAGGGCGCACGGUGGAUGCCUUGGCACUAGAAGCCGAUGAAGGACGUUACUAACGACGAUAUGCUUUGGGGAGCUGUAAGUAAGCUUUGAUCCAGAGAUUUCCGAAUGGGGAAACCCAGCAUGAGUUAUGUCAUGUUAUCGAUAUGUGAAUACAUAGCAUAUCAGAAGGCACACCCGGAGAACUGAAACAUCUUAGUACCCGGAGGAAGAGAAAGAAAAUUCGAUUCCCUUAGUAGCGGCGAGCGAAACGGGAAGAGCCCAAACCAACAAGCUUGCUUGUUGGGGUUGUAGGACACUCUAUACGGAGUUACAAAGGACGACAUUAGACGAAUCAUCUGGAAAGAUGAAUCAAAGAAGGUAAUAAUCCUGUAGUCGAAAAUGUUGUCUCUCUUGAGUGGAUCCUGAGUACGACGGAGCACGUGAAAUUCCGUCGGAAUCUGGGAGGACCAUCUCCUAAGGCUAAAUACUCUCUAGUGACCGAUAGU